AGCAGCCGCGGUAGUUCCAGCUCCAAUAGCGUAUAUUAAAGUUGUUGCAGUUAAAAGCUCGUAGUUGAAUUUCGGGAUCAAUGCGUCGGUCGUGCUUUCGGGUACGUACUGGUGUCAUUGGUUUCUCCUUUCUGACGAGCCGUGAUGUCAUUAAUUUGGUGUUACGGGUAGUUAGGACUGUUACUUUGAAAAAUUGAGUGUUUAAAGCAGGCAUUGGCUUGAAUACAUUAGCAUGGAAUAAUGAAAUAGGACGUUCGAUCCUAUUUUGUUGGUUCUAGGAUCAACGUAAUAAUUAAUAGGGAUAGUUGGGGGCAUUAGUAUUCAAUUGUCAGAGGUGAAAUUCUUGGAUUUAUUGAAGUACUAACUACUGCGAAAGCAUUUGCCAAGGAUGUUUCAUU
rnacentral:rRNA from 1 species